rnacentral:rRNA from 1 species
GAUGAACGCUGACAGAAUGCUUAACACAUGCAAGUCUACUUGAAUUUGGGUUUUUUAACUUAGAUUUGGGUGGCGGACGGGUGAGUAACGCGUAAAGAACUUGCCUCACAGCUAGGGACAACAUUUGGAAACGAAUGCUAAUACCUGAUAUUAUGAUUUUAAGGCAUCUUAGAAUUAUGAAAGCUAUACGCGCUGUGAGAGAGCUUUGCGUCCCAUUAGCUAGUUGGAGAGGUAACGGCUCACCAAGGCGAUGAUGGGUAGCCGGCCUGAGAGGGUGAACGGCCACAAGGGGACUGAGACACGGCCCUUACUCCUACGGGAGGCAGCAGUGGGGAAUAUUGGACAAUGGACCAAGAGUCUGAUCCAGCAAUUCUGUGUGCACGAUGACGUUUUUCGGAAUGUAAAGUGCUUUCAGUUGGAAGAAAAAAAGACGGUACCAACCGGUG